rnacentral:tRNA from 1 species
GGACAUGUAGCUUAGUGGAAGAGCAUGUGUUUAGCACGGGCAAGGCCUGGGUUCAAUUCCCAGCACCC